rnacentral:rRNA from 1 species
CCAGACUCCUACGGGAGGCAGCAGUGGGGAAUAUUGCACAAUGGGCGAAAGCCUGAUGCAGCAACGCCGCGUGAAGGAAGAAGGUCUUCGGAUCGUAAACUUCUGUCCUUGGGGAAGAUAAUGACGGUACCCUUGGAGGAAGCCCCGGCUAACUACGUGCCAGCAGCCGCGGUAAUACGUAGGGAGCGAGCGUUGUCCGGAAUUACUGGGUGUAAAGGGAGCGUAGGCGGGACGGCAAGUCAGAUGUGAAAACUGAGGGCUCAACUUUCAGACUGCAUUUGAAACUGCUGUUCUUGAGUGAAGUAGAGGUAAGCGGAAUUCCUAGUGUAGCGGUGAAAUGCGUAGAUAUUAGGAGGAACAUCGGUGGCGAAGGCGGCUUACUGGGCUUUUACUGACGCUGAGGCUCGAAAGCGUGGGGAGCAAACAGGAUUAGAUACCCGAGUAC